GGUGGGACACUGGAUUCCUGGUGGGAUUUGGUGGGACAAUGGAAUGUCCUCGGUGGGACAAUGACUUGUCCCUGGUGAGACAAGGCCAUGUUCCUGGUGGGACACUGGAGUGUCCCUGGUGGGAUUUGGUGGGACAAUGGAAUGUCCUUGGUGGGACACUGGAAUUUUCUUGGUGGGACACUGGAAUGUCCCUGGUGGGAUUUGGUGGGACACUGGAAUGUCCUCGGUGGGACAAUGACACACCCCCACCAGCACCUGCCACUUCCCCGCCAAUACUUUUUGGGACCCACGGCCGUUUUCCCCAAACCAUCCCAGCCCGGACCUCUCCAGGAUCUCGGAGGCACAGCCUGCUCCCCGUCCCCCCGAAUUUCCCUUCCCGGGGCUCCGCACUGUCACCAUUAGCCAACCUCUUCUUGUGGUUACAACAUCAAAAUUCCUCGGGUCUUGGAAGGCGCCCGGGAAUAUUUGCAUAUGUAUUUCCUUCGUUUUUCACAGCACAGCCUGGC
rnacentral:lncRNA from 1 species